UCCCUGGUGGUCCAGUGGUUAAGACUCUGCGUUCCUAAUGCAGGGGCCUGGGUUUGAUCCCUGGUCAGGGAA